GGGACACAACAGGGAUGAGCUCUUUGAAAUGGUAUUCUUCCCUCUCUUUUAUCGGCAAAACAUGAGACAUUCUUUCUCUUCCUCUAUCUCUCGUCGAUAGAAACUCCUCUCCCUCUCUCUCUUAUCGAUGCAAAUACCUCUCAUUCUAUCUCUCUAUAUCCUCUCAUUGGUACAAACUCGUCUCAUUCUCUCUCCUUCUCUUUCGUUGGCAUAAACUUCUUUCAUUCUCUCUCCCUUUCUUUUUCUCAUCUACAAAAACUAUCCAAGCUCUCUCUCUAAAACUCUCUCCCUCUCUCUCAUCGAAACCAUCCCAUCCUCUUAUUCUCUCUCUCUCCUACUUAUCUCUCUCUCUUAUCGGAACCAUCCACCUGAAUACCUCCUUCCUCUCUUUUCGUCUCACCAUUCAUCGAAAUCCUUUAUUCUCCACUUCUGGAAUGCAAAGUAUAUUUUAACUAUUGUUACUUUAUUAGAGGCUAAAUAUUUCAUUGAGUAUAUGAAAUAUAUAUAUGAUAUUUCAAAAAAAAUAAUAUUAAAUAAUAAAUAAAAUUUCACAAUAUGAUUUUUUUAGCUAUAGAUUAUCAUACAAUAUUUUAGUGACAGUUACUCGCUCAUAAUUGUUCUACAUAAGAUAAUAGUUGCAUAAUUUGGUAGCUAGUUUUAGUAAAAGCUAUAUCUUUUUAAUUAAUUAAUUUAUAUUGUAUUUUUGUGAAUUAUGAGAUAGUUAUACUUUAUAUAGGAAGAUGAUUUCAAUCCUUACAUCAAUAGAGAUUCAUCUAAAAAAAAGUAAUUCGAUGAUCGUAUAGGCUCACCGAUGUUUUAAAUUAUAUGCUUAUAAUUCUAUUAUGAUGGACAUUAUUUUGACUUAAAUAGGUGUUAUAUAUAAGUGAUGUACAUAAUAUUCAGUCAUUAAGAUGUAAAAAUAUAUGGUUAUACAUAGUUGUGAAUAAAUAUAUUACUCCUAUACAAUGAUAUGAUUUGUUAUAUUUGAUUUAUACAUCUAAUAUUAGAUUGAUGAUUGUGAGCUUCAGAUACUUAUUCUGAGUGGUUUCUAUUUAUCGCCACCGAGUCUAUCUUUAUUUUAGAGAGUUUCUAUUUAUUAUAUAAAAUUUAUCUUUAUUCUGGGAUGGUUUGUAUUUAUUCUCACAUAUUUUAUGUUUAUUCCAUUAGAAAUUAGUAUUUAUCCUCCUCUUAUUGUUUAUCGUACGGAGAUCUUUAGAUGAUCCAAGUUUUGGAGGCCAAAUGUAUAUUUAUUCUAAGCGGUGUGUAUUUAUCACCACAAAAUUUGUAUUUAUUUUAAAAUUUUUAUUUAUUAUAUGAUAUUUAUAUUUAUUUUGGAUAGUUUAUAUUUAUCUCAGCAUAUUCUCAUGCAAGACAACAAUGCAACUCUCUAAGUUUGUAUUUAUCUUUGGGCUGUUUUUAUUUACUCUAAAGAGUUUGUAUUUAUUUUUAUAUAUUUUAUAUUUAUUCUAUUAGAAGUUAAUAUUUAUCUUCCUCUAUCGUUGUCUAUGAUGGAGGGACAUAAAUUUAUAAAUGAAUAAGAUUAAAACUUGAAAACAAUCACAAAUAUAGUAUGACCACUAACAUGCUAUGGGUUUUUAAAUCCUAAAUACACAAUUUAUCGAAAAAAUCCUAAAUAUACAACAAAAAUCAUCCUCUGAAAAUAAGCAUAAAUUGAUCUAUCCUAACUUCAAGUACAAAUUCACUUAGGAAACAAUAAUCGAAUUCAAUAAACACAUGAUCAUACCAACUUGACAAUAAACAUGGUCACGCCAACCUAUCAAUAAGUUCAAAGCACCACAAAGAAUAAACUCAGAUAUCAUGAUCAAAUCUACUAU
rnacentral:lncRNA from 1 species